rnacentral:rRNA from 1 species
UACGGAGGGGGCGAGCGUUAUUCGGAAUUAUUGGGCGUAAAGGGCGCGUAGGCGGCUGGGCAAGUCAAAGGUGAAAUCCCUCGGCUCAACUGAGGAACUGCCUUUGAAACUGCCUGGCUUGAGGCCGGGAGGGGGUAGCGGAAUUCCCAGUGUAGCGGUGAAAUUCGUAGAUAUUCGGAAGAACACCAGUGGCGAAGGCGACUUACUGGACACAUAUUGACGCUGAGGUGCGAAAGCGUGGGGAGCAAACAGG